rnacentral:miRNA from 1 species
GGCAAUCUUGUUAAACUGCAGAUUUCGAUUUAGCCUGGUGAGAGUGAGGCCUGAGAUUCUGCAUUUUUAACAAGCUC